CGACGGUCGGCGAUCACCGACCCCGGACGAGGCAGACCAGUACCCGGUGAGCGCAAAGACUGGUCCGA
rnacentral:ncRNA from 1 species